rnacentral:rRNA from 1 species
GACGAACGCUGGCGGCGUGCUUAACACAUGCAAGUCGAACGGUGAAGCGCCUUCCUUUUUGGUGGGUGUGGAUGAGUGGCGAACGGGUGAGUAACACGUGAGUAACCUGCCCCCUUCUUCUGGAUAACCGCAUGAAAGUGUGGCUAAUACGGGAUAUUCUGGGUCUGUCGCAUGAUGGGUCUGGGAAAGAUAUUGUUUCGGUGGGGGAUGGGCUCGCGGCCUAUCAGCUUGUUGGUGGGGUGAUGGCCUAUCAAGGCGGUGGCGUGUAGCCGGCCUGAGAGGGUGGACGGGCACGCGGGGACUGAGGCACGGACCAGACUCCUACGGGAGGCAGCAGUGGGGAAGAUUGCACAAUGGGCGCAAGCCUGAUGCAGCGACGCCGCGUGAGGGAUGGAGGCCUUCGGGUUGUGAACCUCUUUCGCCAGUGAAGCAGGCCUGCCUCGUUUGUGGGUGGGUUGACGGUAGCUGGAUAAGAAGCGCCGGCUAACUACGUG